UACGGAGGGUGCAAGCGUUAUCCGGAUUCACUGGGUUUAAAGGGUGCGUAGGUGGGUUGGUAAGUCAGUGGUGAAAUCCCCGAGCUUAACUUGGGAACUGCCAUUGAUACUAUCAGUCUUGAAUAUUGUGGAGGUCAGCGGAAUAUGUCAUGUAGCGGUGAAAUGCUUAGAUAUGACAUAGAACACCAAUUGCGAAGGCAGCUGACUACGCAUAUAUUGACACUGAGGCACGAAAGCGUGGGGGAUCAAACAGG
rnacentral:rRNA from 1 species